rnacentral:rRNA from 1 species
GAGUUUGAUCAUGGCUCAGGAUGAACGCUAGCGGCAGGCUUAACACAUGCAAGUCGAGGGGUAACAGGGUCUUCGGACCGCUGACGACCGGCGCACGGGUGCGUAACGCGUAUACAAUCUACCUUGUAGAGGGGGAUAGCCCGGGGAAACCCGGAUUAAUACCCCAUAGUAUUAAAGAGCAGCAUUGCUUUUUGAUUAAACAUUUAUGGCUACAAGAUGAGUAUGCGUUCUAUUAGCUAGUAGGUAAGGUAACGGCUUACCUAGGCUACGAUAGAUAGGGGUCCUGAGAGGGAGAUCCCCCACACUGGUACUGAGACACGGACCAGACUCCUACGGGAGGCAGCAGUGAGGAAUAUUGGACAAUGGGCGAGAGCCUGAUCCAGCCAUGCCGCGUGCAGGAAGACGGCCCUAUGGGUUGUAAACUGCUUUUAUACAGGAAGAAACACUCCCUCGUGAGGGAGCUUGACGGUACUGUAAGAAUAAGGAUCGGCUAACUCCGUGCCAGCAGCCGCGGUAAUACGGAGGAUCCAAGCGUUAUCCGGAAUCAUUGGGUUUAAAGGGUCCGUAGGCGGGACAAUAAGUCAGCGGUGAAAGUCUGUGGCUCAACCAUAGAAUUGCCAUUGAUACUGUUGUUCUUGAGUGUUUAUGAAGUGGUUAGGAUAUGUGGUGUAGCGGUGAAAUGCAUAGAUAUCACAUGGAAUACCGAUUGCGAAGGCAGAUCACUAAUAAAAUACUGACGCUGAUGGACGAAAGCGUAGGUAG